rnacentral:ncRNA from 1 species
AUUAUGACAAUGUGCGUAUAGCUAGCGGAGAGAACAGACAGAUCGUAAAGACGCCGUAAAAUCGUCCCUGAUGGCUCGGGCCGCGCCCUCCUUGGCGCGGACGCUUU